rnacentral:rRNA from 1 species
GGUGAACGCUGGCGGCGUGCUUGACACAUGCAAGUCGAACGGUAUGUGGCAACACAUAGAGUGGCGAACGGGUGAGUAAUACGUGGGAACGUACCUUCUGCAGGGGGAUAACUGACCGAAAGGACAGCUAAUACCGCAUAAGACCGAGAGGAGAAAGGUGCAACAGCAUCGGCAGAGGAGCGGCCCGCGGACCAUCAGCUAGUUGGUGGGGUAAGAGCCUACCAAGGCAACGACGGAUAGCCGGCGUGAGAGCGUGGCCGGCCACAAGGACACUGAGAUACGGGUCCUACUCCUACGGGAGGCAGCAGUGCGGAAUUUUAGAUAAUGGAGGCAACUCUGAUCUAGCGACGCCGCGUGCAGGAAGAAGGUCUUCGGAUUGUAAACUGCUGUGGUAAGGGAAAAAUGCCAUGUAGAGUGGAAAGCUACAUGGAGGGAUGGUACUUUACUAGAAAGCCCCGGCUAACUACGUGCCAGCAGCCGCGGUAAUACGUAGGGGGCGAGCGUUACCCGGAAUCACUGGGCGUAAAGGGAGCGUAGGUGGCCUGACAUGUCGACUGUGAAAACCCGGAGCUCAACUCCGGACUUGCAGUUGAAACUGCCAGGCUUGAGGACGGUAGAGGAAGACGGAACUGCCAGUGUAGGGGUAAAAUCCUUAGAUAUUGGCAGGAACGCCGGUGACGAAGGUGGUUUUCUGGGCCGGUUCUGACACUGAUGCUCGAAAGCCAGGGGAGCGAACGGGAUUAGAUACCCCGGUAGUCCUGGCCCUAAACGAUGUUCACUAGGUGUGGGGAGCGGAAAGCUUUCCGUGCUAAAGCUAACGCGAUAAGUGAACCGCCUGGGGAGUACGCCCGCAAGGGUGAAACUCAAGGAUUGACGGGGCCCGCACAAGCGGUGGAGCGUGUGGUUUAAUUCGAUGCUAGCGAGACCUUACCAGGUUUGACAUGCUGAUA